GACGAACGCUGGCGGCGUGCUUAACACAUGCAAGUCGAACGGAAAGGCCCUGCUUUUGUGGGGUGCUCGAGUGGCGAACGGGUGAGUAACACGUGAGUAACCUGCCCUUGACUUUGGGAUAACUUCAGGAAACUGGGGCUAAUACCGGAUAGGAGCUCCUGCUGCAUGGUGGGGGUUGGAAAGUUUCGGCGGUUGGGGAUGGACUCGCGGCUUAUCAGCUUGUUGGUGGGGUAGUGGCUUACCAAGGCUUUGACGGGUAGCCGGCCUGAGAGGGUGACCGGCGUCAUUGGGACUGAGAUACGGCCCAGACUCCUACGGGAGGCAGCAGUGGGGAAUAUUGCACAAUGGGCGGAAGCCUGAUGCAGCAACGCCGCGUGCGUGAUGACGGCCUUCGGGUUGUAAACCGCUUUCGCCUGUGACGAAGCGUGAGUGACGGUAAUGGGUAAAGAAGCACCGGCUAACUACGUG
rnacentral:rRNA from 1 species